UUGAACGCUGGCGGCAGGCCUAACACAUGCAAGUCGAGCGGAUGAAGGGGGCUUGCUCCUGGAUUCAGCGGCGGACGGGUGAGUAAUGCCUAGGAAUCUGCCUGGUAGUGGGGGAUAACGUCCGGAAACGGGCGCUAAUACCGCAUACGUCCUGAGGGAGAAAGUGGGGGAUCUUCGGACCUCACGCUAUCAGAUGAGCCUAGGUCGGAUUAGCUAGUUGGUGGGGUAAAGGCCUACCAAGGCGACGGUCCGUAACUGGUCUGAGAGGAUGAUCAGUCACACUGGAACUGAGACACGGUCCAGACUCCUACGGGAGGCAGCAGUGGGGAAUAUUGGACAAUGGGCGAAAGCCUGAUCCAGCCAUGCCGCGUGUGUGAAGAAGGUCUUCGGAUUGUAAAGCACUUUAAGUUGGGAGGAAGGGCAGUAAGUUAAUACCUUGCUGUUUUGACGUUACCAACAGAAUAAGCACCGGCUAACUUCGUG
rnacentral:rRNA from 1 species